rnacentral:rRNA from 1 species
GACAGAGGUGCCAAGCGUUAGGCGGAAUUACUGGGCGUAAAGCGCACGUAGGCGGCUUGGUAUGUCGGGUGUGAAAUCCCCGGGCUCAACCUGGGAACUGCAUCCGAAACUGCCUUGCUCGAGUAUGGGAGAGGGAAGUGGAAUUUCCGGUGUAGCGGUGAAAUGCGUAGAUAUCGGAAGGAACAUCAGUGGCGAAGGCGACUUCCUGGACCAAUACUGACGCUCAGGUGCGAAAGCGUGGGGAGCAAACAGG